rnacentral:tRNA from 1 species
UCCCUAGUGGCUCAGAUGGUAAAGCAUCUGUCUGCAACACAGGAGACCCGGGUUCGAUCACUGGGUUGGGAA